UAAAGAUCCAUACCAUGCUACAGGAAUAACGAAGCUACAGAUUUUGUUUAAACUUCUCAGAAUUUUAAUUAAGUAUUUGUCCUUUUCAUAUCUGCGUAAAUUUUUAGGUCGACCGGGCCUCCUUUUGUUAGGACUGUUACUAAAAAUAGACAUUGUCUCGAGAAAUUACAAAAAUGAAAGAAUUAAGUAAUUUAUGCUAGCUUUCUAAAAUUAAAGGCAAAUAAAAAUAUUUAACACAUAAAUUGUAGAGAGGAUAUGCUUGUUUAAGGGUUUAAUUAAUUUUUACAUCUGCUGAUCCAUUUAAUUGUACUUUUUAGGGCGAAUUCAUCAUAUUUAGCUCAAAAUUAUGAAAUUCAUUACAAGUAAAAAUAAAUUGCUGCUUGAUAUUCUAACUACAGAUUUCUUUUAAAAUUUAACACGUUAUUUUCCAAUUGUUUUCCCCUUAUAUGGAAUAAAAAUUAAGUGGGGCAGCGGGCAUAUAUCAAGAGAAUUUUACAUUUUUACACCAAAUCCCCUGAAAAAUGUUUAUUUGAAAAAUCUCUCUAAUAUCCAUACUUUUAGGAAUUCGUUCUUAGAGUCGCUUUAAACAUGAAAAUUUUCACUGAUGAAACAAUAAUGACUAUGGUUUAAAUUAUAAUGUUUUAUGUUUAAUGGAUGUACGGCCAAAUAUUAGUUUUCAAAAGUUACAAGCAUAAUAGUCUUCGGGUUCGAGGUUAGCAAUAUUCUGUAAACCGAUACUGCGCAUGCGCUUGGUGUGCUCCGGGAAAAAAUGCGUGAAGAGAAGAAGGGAAAGCAAAUUUACUGAUCAAAUCAAUCAAACAAUGCACUCAGACUAGUAGCCAUUCAUGAAAACUAGUCGACAUAACAAAAUGCUUCGGUUUUUAUUUCAAUUGAACGAUAUUUGGUGAAGACAUAGCCAAAUAGCCCCACCACUAGGCCUACCACAUGCAGAAUGUUUUAGCAGCCGACACGCACAGCGCCAGUCCAGUCUUCUUGAUGAAAAUUAGGAAAUGUUAUGGGUGAAAAAUCCAGAUAUUGCCAUAGCUUGCAGAUGAAUUCAUUGCAGAGCAAAAAAAGAACAUUUGGUUGUCGUGUAGAGAGACUCUGAUUCCGGUUACUUUACUAGCAGCAAGGGACAUUUUCUUUCUGGGCAUUACAUAUCUGUUCAUGACGGUUGUUCCACACACAGCAGAUAAUUGAACAAUAUCGGAGAACUGCAGCAGAUACCCUAUGCGUUAAGGAUCGUGAUCGCCCAUAACAUCUGAAAAAUAUUUUUUGGUUUCAACCAUUUCUUCAAGGGCCUGUCUUAGACCAUCUGCUUUGAGCUGCUGCCCAUUUGUACACCAGUCACUGCACAUCGCAUGGUCACCAAAAACGUGAGGUACAAUCUGUGAUAGACCUUCUCGAACAUCGUCGCUUGUUCUAGCCCUGGACAGGGUGUACAUAAAGCAUCUAACCAGUUCAGGGAAGUCCAAUUUUAGCGUAGAUAGAGUGGUGGAGUCAUUGUCAGCAUGGAUAACUUGUACUGGGUGGCCGCAGUCUUUCAUUUUAUGCAGCAUGGACACUGCCAUAUCAGGCUCCAUGGCCUUGCUGGAUCCA